rnacentral:misc_RNA from 1 species
UUCUUCUAUGCCAUAUGGAACAUGCGAUAGAGAAGAAUAACAAUACCCAGAAAAAAUGUCUAUUUAUUAUACUCCAAUUCACAAGAAAUUUUAGAAUACAACUAUUGUAUGUAUAACAGUGGCAUUAUAAAUAUUGAUUAUAUGGUGAUUUUUAUGUGAGUUUUAUCAUAAUCAAUUAUUAAAUCUAUUUGAUAUAUAUAUAUAUAACGAUUACAUGUAAUUAUUUCUCUUCAAUUCACGCCCUAUUAAGUAGCAAAAUGUCUUACCAAAUUGUUUUAAUUAAUAUAUUAUCAUGCUAGGGUGAAAAAUGAUCUUUCUUCCUUAUUCUAACCAUUGAAUAAUUAAUAAUUAGCAUCUAAGCCUAAUCAUCAUCAUUAUCAUGUUAUUAUUAUUGUUAGUGUUAUGUAGAGCUCCAACUUAGAUCUUGAUUCCACUUUUUG